rnacentral:lncRNA from 1 species
UCAUUCAUGAAGUGAUGGUGUGGAUAUCUGUGGCUGUAGGGAGAAAUGCAAAUGGGAUGGAUCAAAGUCACUGGCCACUACCACAACUACAUGGGAAAGAAAACUCUAGAUUUGGACUUAGGGAAGUUCUCUAUACUGUCAGGGCCAGGGAUGUUAGAGUUAAGAGAGGCUGGAAGCAGCCAAAACUGGGGAAACCCUUCUGCCAUGGCUUGGGGGAAAGCCCAGGGUUUAGAGUUGAUCUGGGUUGAACUUCUCUGAGAUCUCCAGAUGACCCUUCACACAUCCUUUUGUAUAGCAUUGAGAAUCUGGUCCAGGACCAUGUAUGUUGAAUCUCAGUGGUCAAAUUCACAGUAUCUGGAAUCAGCUAAGAGACAUGUCUAUGGGCACAUACCAGGAGGUAUCGUCUUGAUUAGGUUAAUUGAAGUAGGAAGUCUCAAUGUGCGUGGCACCUUCUGGUGGCAGGUAGACAAAAGGGGGUCCAAGGAAAAAUCUUAUCACUUCAGCCUGGUUGCCUCCCAUCUUGCUGGGCAGUCCAGUUAUCCUGCUUGUGACUUCCUCAGUUCUGUUGCUGUGACUGCCACUACCACUGAACUCCUUCCCUGGUAACAACUCAGCUCUGUGGGUUUCCAACCUGGUCUCUCCAGGAAUCCUUCAGGUCUCGGCACCAGAGAGAGGACUACGGAGACACUUGGCCUCGUGGAAGCAGGUGUGCAGCCUCGUCAGAAUAACGAUACCUGUUCUGGACGACAGAAGUAUCAGUCAAGCCAGAAUCUAUUUUAACAGACCCCUCCCUCAGGCCUCCACCUUGUCCUCCUCCCCGCCCUCCUUCUUCCAUUCCCACUUCUCUUCUCUUGUCAUUGCACGUCCCCCCCACUACUCCCAUCCCCAGCUCAGGCCUUUGUGGCUUUGCUGGCCCAACAGCCAACAGUGGGAAUUACUUCAAGUGUGGGGCUCAGAGGUCAUCUUGCUCCCAACAAAGGGAUGGAUGUGGAGUGGGACACCUGUGAUGGUUUGAAUGAGAAAUGUCCCAUAAGCUCAGGUAUUCGAACACUUAGUCCUCACCUGGUGGUACUGUUUGGGGGUGGGGGUGGUGGAACUUUAGCAGGUAGAGCCUUGCUGGAGGAAGUAGUUGAUGGUGGGGGAGUGGGCUUUGAGAAUGCAUUGGUCUGUCUGUUUUGUGUUUCUGGUUGAAGGUGGGAUCUCUCAGCUCCCUGCUAUGCUGGCCAGCUGCCACGCCUCCCUGCCAUGGUAGAAUCUCCCCCAGGAACUAUAAUGCCAAAUAAACUCCCUCUCCCAUGGAUUUAUUUCCCUGAUCCUGCUGUAAUAUUUGGGACAGAAGUAACAGUUGUGGAGUGAGAGAGAGCCUUAUAUUAUCUACUAAAGGUAUCUAGGAUCAAGUACUUUUCUUAGAGUUCUCACACAAACACCUACUCUUUUAAAAAGAGAAAAAAUUGUGAGAUCUUAUUUUGACCUUUGGCGUCAAGCUAGUUAAAGGCUUUCAAGGAUGAGUGGGGUUUACAAUGGCCAUGGAACUUUCUGUCCAGUAGGCUCCUGCUCGCUGCCUUGAAAAAGUAUCCCGGCAGACGACAGUGCCAUGACGGCGAGCAUCCAAGAACACCACAGGAAAGACACAGCUGCGUCCAAAGAGCACAUUCCAAGCUUAUAAAGGCCUGAAACUGGAAAUUUCCUUCCGCUCCCAGAGCCGUCUCCUGAGCAAACAUUGGAA